GAAGAGAAGAAACUGUAGGAAGUCAAAAAACUUAUCUCCAAUUUUGCUAACAGUGUUCUAUGUCGGAUUCCAUCAAUCUCUCUCUCUCUCUCUUCCAUCAUCUGUCACUUUCUUUGUUUUCUACGCAACAAGAAACCGAACCAAAAAAAAAAAACAAAUUUACUAAAUUAAUCACCCAAAAAAAUAACCCACUAAAAAGCAAACGAAUCCAAGAACAUGGAAACAAAAAAAAAUGUGUAAGAAAAGGAAAAAUAAAAUUUAAAAAAACAUCAAGCGUGGGCUGAAAAUCACUACACACUAAAAAAUCUGAAUUUUUAUAUUUUC
rnacentral:lncRNA from 1 species